UUAGUGGAAGCCAAGCUUGAGGCUUAUCACUGUUAAUGAUAGAACUGAAAUCAAUUUCCCACUAAG
rnacentral:tRNA from 1 species